AACGAACGCUGGCGGCAUGCCUAACACAUGCAAGUCGAACGAGACCUUCGGGUCUAGUGGCGCGCGGGUGCGUAACGCGUGGGAACCUGCCCUUAGGUUCGGAAUAACUCCCCGAAAGGGGUGCUAAUACCGGAUAAUGUCUUCGGACCAAAGAUUUAUCGCCUUUGGAUGGGCCCGCGUUGGAUUAGCUAGUUGGUAGGGUAAAAGCCUACCAAGGCGACGAUCCAUAGCUGGUCUGAGAGGAUGAUCAGCCACACUGGGACUGAGACACGGCCCAGAAUCCUACGGGAGGAAGCAGUGGGGAAUAUUGGACAAUGGGCGAAAGGCUGAUCCAGCAAUGCCGCGUGAGUGAUGAAGGCCUUAGGGUUGUAAAGCUCUUUUACCCGGGAUGAUAAUGACAGUACCGGGAGAAUAAGCUCCGGCUAACUCCGUG
rnacentral:rRNA from 1 species